rnacentral:RNase_P_RNA from 1 species
CGGGCUGGGCAGCUGCUGGUGCCGCAUGGCACGAGAGGAAAGUCCGAGCCCCGCAGAGCAGGAUAACGGCUAACGGCCGCCGGGGGUGACCCCAGGGAAAGUGCAACAGAGAGAUACCGGCCCGGCUUUGCCGGACCAAGGGUGGAAAGGCGAGGUAAGAGCUCACCAGCAUGGUGGAGACAUCAUGGCUAUGUAAACCCUAUCCGGAGCAACACCGACUUGGAGUGGCUUGCUCGGCCCAUACUCCAGAAGGGUGGCUUGAGCCUGUCAGCAAUGGCAGGCCUAGAUAGAUAGUUGCCUGAGAUAACAGAACUCGGCUUACACGCCCGGUC